CUAAUUAAACUAAUGAAGAAAAACUCACUGAAUCGAUGUUCCGAGAAUAGGUAUUGAAAUAUUUCUCCUUCCUUUCGGUUUUCGACUUCUUCUUCUUCCCUUCUUGCGUUCUUUCGUUGCUCUGUGCGUUGUGAAUAACUCCUCGAUUCUGAACUCUCUGUGAAUGUCAGUUUUCUGUUGUGAAAGAUGAAUUGAACCUCUUCUUCUCUACAAUCUUAUGUUACAUUUGGAUGAUCUGUGUUUUUUAGUUGAAGCAUAUGAGCGUGUAUUUAUAGGAUUCAAAUUCUGUUACGUACGAAUUUCAAAUGAAAUUUGGUUGAAUUUUAGAUAUUAGUUAGAAAUGCAAUAAGUUGUUAGAAGCUUGUUAUGUUAGUGAUGUGAAGCUAGUUAAGAUGCCAUUUUGCUGAUUUCUGUUAAAUUGGUUAGUUGUUGGUUUGUUAAAUUGAAGAGGACUAAAUUGCUAUGCUAAUAAGGUUAAAGUUGAUUGUUACUUGUUGAUUGAGCCUUGACUAAGAUAAUUUUCAACCUUACUUAUACUGCUAGUGUACUAUGUUCUUAAGCGUUGUAUGAAUUAGUGCCAUGAAUAUGAAAGAACGUUACAUGAACUUUGGAGAGUAUGAUUGAUAGACUAGUGAAUUAUGGUGUGGAACCAAGCUUGAAAUCCAAUCAUGAAUGUGGUUAGAGCUUAGCUAUGUAAAUUUGAUUGAACGUUAGAAAUUGUCUUGUUAAAUAAAUCCUUUUGUUGUGUUAGUCAUCCAUGGAAAUAGGUUGAGUUUUGUGUAGCUGCUUUGAAGCCAAAUGAGGUUGUUCCAGUGACAGAUGAUACCCUCAACCAUAUAUUAUGAAUGCUAAUAUUGGUUAAGUCCCUACUACUAUUGAACUCUGUUAGGAUGUUUUAU
rnacentral:lncRNA from 1 species